rnacentral:lncRNA from 1 species
AAACUAAGCUAGGUACACAUGCGAGGGAAUAAAAAGAACAAGCUGUGAGGAAAAUAAUAACAAGCAUCCACCACUUUAAGCAUAACAAGAGAAGAAAGCUAUUGUCUGCACGCACACCUCUGGGAUUGAGUGUGUUCUGGUGUCCAACACCCAAUAUCCAUAUGUACUACCUGUGUCUAACAACUCAGUAAAGUGUUCAAAAAAAAAAUUGCCUGGGCACUCCUUGGACACAUCUCAGACUAGUUUAGGGAUUAAAAAUGUGUUGAACCAAUGAUGACCAAUGAGGGGAUUAAAGAAAUCAAAUUUUAUUACAUUAUUUUUCGCUUUUCA